GACGAACGCUGGCGGCGUGCCUAAUACAUGCAAGUCGAACGAACGGAUAAAGAGCUUGCUCUUUUGAAGUUAGUGGCGGACGGGUGAGUAACACGUGGGUAACCUGCCUCACAGCUGGGGAUAACAUCGAGAAAUCGAUGCUAAUACCGAAUGUGCUGAACAUCAUAAGAUGUUCAAGUGAAAGACGGUUUCGGCUGUCACUGUGAGAUGGACCCGCGCUGGAUUAGCUAGUUGGUAAGGUAAUGGCUUACCAAGGCGACGAUCCAUAGCCGACCUGAGAGGGUGAUCGGCCACAUUGGGACUGAGACACGGCCCAAACUCCUACGGGAGGCAGCAGUAGGGAAUCUUCGGCAAUGGACGAAAGUCUGACCGAGCAACGCCGCGUGAGCGAAGAAGGCCUUCGGGUCGUAAAGCUCUGUUGUUAGAGAAGAACAUGGGUGAGAAUAACUGUUCACCCCUUGACGGUAUCUAACCAGAAAGCCACGGCUAACUACGUG
rnacentral:rRNA from 1 species